rnacentral:snoRNA from 1 species
GUGCGAUGACUGAUUUGGAUAAGUUUCGGCUGAUAAUUAUUGAUGCCAACUUUUGAAUAUUGCUGAGCAC